rnacentral:rRNA from 1 species
UACGUAGGGGGCAAGCGUUGUCCGGAAUCAUUGGGCGUAAAGCGCGUGUAGGCGGCCAUGUAAGUCCGUUCUGAAAGCCCGGGGCUCAACCCCGGGAGGCGGAUGGAUACUGCAUGGCUCGAGUACGGAAGAGGCGAGUGGAAUUCCCGGUGUAGCGGUGAAAUGCGCAGAUAUCGGGAGGAACAUCAGUGGCGAAGGCGACUUCCUGGACCAAUACUGACGCUCAGGUGCGAAAGCGUGGGGAGCAAACAGG